GGGACGAGGAGGGUUGAGAAAGAGGCCACUGGACUUGGAGCGCAGCCAGGGCCAGCGAGGGUUUAAAGCUACGCACUGCUCACUGCGACCGGCUCCGCUAACCCAGUCUGACUGGGAUCACAAGCCAAUAGGGGGACAAUUACCCUGGGUACUGCCGAGUCACGCCGGCCAAAGUCUGGUGUGAGUCCAUGUGUGUGUAGAACAGAUCCAUGAAAUCAGCGGCCGAUGCAGACAGGAGUUCAGAUUUGGCGUCACCUGGGUGGCCACACAGUUACAGGCUCUCCGUGCAACUCCCCAUCACUGGGUCCCGGAGCUCCAGGUAUGGAAAACACACGGGCAUCUAUCUCAGGUUUUUGGAGAGAGUGCAUUGGAGGCAUUAUUUUCCUUCUAAAAUACAAUAGUGCUUUGGCACCGCCACAUUCCUUUAAAAGUGCAUUUAUAUGUAACUCACUGCAUGAAUAAACACCAUUACACAUUAUCCAGCUGCGACUUCUACUUCAGGCUUAUUUGGAUUUUGUGAAGGAACCUCUGCUGAACAUCAUCCAUAAUAUAUGACGGGAUUUUGCCAUCAGUCUAAUGGGGGUAAACCGAGAGAUUUGGAAUGGGAAACGUAUUAGAGAGAAUCCAGGAAAGACCAAAAACCUUUAGAGGUGUGAGAACCUGAAUCACCUUUCAACUCCACAUCCAUCCAUCCAGUGAAGUGUUAUUCAAGCCAGGGUGAGCGGGACUGUGACACCCCUGUAAAUGAAGGUCAGCUGAGCGGUUUGAGGGUAAAAAUGAAAUAUACAUUUAC
ensembl:lncRNA